UACGUAGGGUGCGAGCGUUGCCCGGAUUUAUUGGGCGUAAAGGGCGCGUAGGCGGCUCGGCACGUCCGUUGUGAAAUCGCCCGGCUCAACUGGGCGGGGUCGGCGGAUACGGCCGAGCUGGAGCAAGCUAGGGGGUAAUGGAAUUCCCGGUGUAGUGGUGGAAUGCGUAGAGAUCCGGAGGAACACCAGCGGCGAAGGCGGCAUCCUGGACUGGUCCUGACACUCAUGAGCGAAAGCGUGGGGAGCGAUCCGG
rnacentral:rRNA from 1 species